CUGAUACCACAUUGUCUAUUGUUUUCUGUGUAUUAGCUCUCUGAGACUUAACAAUUCCAAACAAACCACUAAUGAAAUUUCAUUCUUGAAUUUAGGAAACAAUCAAGGGAUCAAACAACUUUGCAAAACUUUACUGCAAAGUUGUAACAACAGCCCCGCUGGACGUCACUGGUGAGCCUCAUGUCUUUUAUUGUGAAGGACUUGUGGCUCACAUGACAACCUACCUUCUGCCCUACACAGCCCUGUGCAGCGGGAUAAUGCUUGGGAACCUUGGACGACAUGGAAAAGGAAAGGCGUACAAAGAGAACACGCGCAAACAUGAAGCCCUGAGAAAGCUCACAAGACAAAACAUUACACAGGACAACAACACUCAGGGAAUAAUGGAGAAGAGCCAGUGGGACCUGAAACAUAUACGUUUCAGUCAGUUCCCGCAGGCU